AUUGAACGCUGGCGGCAGGCCUAACACAUGCAAGUCGAGCGGAGCGGCGGACGGGUGAGUAAUGCCUAGGAAUCUGCCUGUUAGUGGGGGAUAAUGUCCGGUACCGGGCGCUACUCCCGCAUACUAUCACAUUAGCCUAGGUCGGAUUAGCUGGUGGGGGGGGUAAAGGCCUACAAAGCCGCCGAUCAGUAACUGGUCUGAGAGGAGGAGCAGUCACACGGGAACUGAGACACGGUCCCGACUCCUACGGGAGGCAGAAGAGGGGAAGUGUGGACAAUGGGCGAAAGCCUGAUCAAGCCAUGCCGCGGGUGUGAAGAAGGUCUUCGGAUUGUAAAGCACUUUAAGUUGGGAGGCGUUACCAAAAGAAUAAGCACCGGCUAACUUCGUGCCAGCAGCCGCGGUAAUUC
rnacentral:rRNA from 1 species